rnacentral:rRNA from 1 species
UACAGAGGGUGCGAGCGUUAAUCGGAAUUACUGGGCGUAAAGGGCGCGUAGGCGGCCUUCUAAGUCGAACGUGAAAUCCCUGGGCUCAACCCAGGAACUGCGUCCGAUACUGGAAGGCUUGAAUCCGGGAGAGGGAUGCGGAAUUCCAGGUGUAGCGGUGAAAUGCGCAGAUAUCAGGAGGAACACCGGUGGCGAAGGCGGGUCUCUGGGCCGAUAUUGACGCUGAGGAGCGAAAGCGUGGGGAGCGAACAGG